rnacentral:rRNA from 1 species
AUUGAACGCUGGCGGCAGGCCUAACACAUGCAAGUCGAGCGGAUGAAGGGAGCUUGCUCCUGGAUUCAACGGCGGACGGGUGAGUAAUGCCUAGGAAUCUGCCUGGUAGUGGGGGAUAACGUCCGGAAACGGGCGCUAAUACCGCAUACGUCCUGAGGGAGAAAGUGGGGGAUCUUCGGACCUCACGCUAUCAGAUGAGCCUAGUUCGGAUUAGCUAGUUGGUGGGGUAAAGGCCUACCAAGGCGACGAUCCGUAACUGGUCUGAGAGGAUGAUCAGUCACACUGGAACUGAGACACGGUCCAGACUCCUACGGGAGGCAGCAGUGGGGAAUAUUGGACAAUGGGCGAAAGCCUGAUCCAGCCAUGCCGCGUGUGUGAAGAAGGUCUUCGGAUUGUAAAGCACUUUAAGUUGGGAGGAAGGGCAGUAAGUUAAUACCUUGCUGUUUUGACGUUACCAACAGAAUAAGCACCGGCUAACUUCGUG